AUUGAACGCUGGCGGCAGGCCUAACACAUGCAAGUCGAGCGGAUGAAGGGAGCUUGCUCCUGGAUUCAGCGGCGGACGGGUGAGUAAUGCCUAGGAAUCUGCCUGGUAGUGGGGGAUAACGUCCGGAAACGGGCGCUAAUACCGCAUACGUCCUGAGGGAGAAAGUGGGGGAUCUUCGGACCUCACGCUAUCAACUGAGCAUAGGUCGGAUUAGCUAGUUGGUGGGGUAAAGGCCUACCAAGGCGACGAUCCGUAACUGGUCUGAGAGGAUGAUCAGUCACACUGGAACUGAGACACGGUCCAGACUCCUACGGGAGGCAGCAGUGGGGAAUAUUGGACAAUGGGCGAAAGCCUGAUCCAGCCAUGCCGCGUGUGUGAAGAAGGUCUUCGGAUUGUAAAGCACUUUAAGUUGGGAGGAAGGGCAGUAAGUUAAUACCUUGCUGUUUUGACGUUACCAACAGAAUAAGCACCGGCUAACUUCGUG
rnacentral:rRNA from 1 species